rnacentral:lncRNA from 1 species
GAGCUAUUUGUGCUGCCUGAGUUUGUCUCUUAGGAUAAUUUCCCUUCAUUUCCUUGGUGUUUCAUUCUUCAAUUGUGUUGGAGGGAAAGUGAAUGGUAGAAAACAGAACACCCUUUGACCUCCUUUUCCAGUUUGUAAAUGGCAUUUAGUAGGCUUUGGGAAUAAUGGCUCGUUUCCAAAAAUAAGAGGUGAUGUGAAUUAUCAUGGAAGUGAGAGGCAAGAAAUUUGCAUUUGCAGGUUGAUAUUGACAUAAACUUAACCCUUCAUACUCAACCGCUUGCAUCCUCUCAGCAGGGGUUUUCAACCUUUGCUGUCAGUUAGGACUACCUGGGGAGCUCUGUGCAAUCUUGAUGCCCAGGGUAUAUCCCAGACCAAUAAAUCAGAAUCUCUGGGGCGUGGAACCCAGGCAUCAGUAUUUUUUAAAGCUCCCCAGGUGAUUCCAAUGGGCAGCUAAGGAUGAGAACACGACAAUGAAUUCUAUGUGAUUUGCAGACAUUAUCUGAUUUCUUAAAACGAUCUGAGGUAGCAAAGGAUCUUUGCAGCAAGAAUUUUUGUUAGAAAUAGAAAGAGUGAAGCACAGAGAGGUUGCAUUUUUAUCUUAAUUCCUUGAAGCUGGGGUGGCCUGCAGGGGUCUGGCAGGUGAUCUGAUGAGCGAAGCAGACUGCUGGCCACUGGGGAGCCCCCCGGGAGCACACGCCCUGCUAAAGGUGAGCGGCUGCUGCCUGGCUGCAGCCUGCUACAGCACAGUGUUGCCACAUCGCUGGUUUUUCUAGUUCUUCCGAUUUCCAAUUUUCCAUGAAAAGGCAGAAUUUGGAAAAAAGAAAUCUUCCAAUUUUUACAUGUUGGUGGUGAAUUCAAGAUUGUUUGAAACAUUGUGCUGGCCAAGCAAAACAUGUUUGCCAGUAGUUUCCAGUCUUUGCUUCAAGAGCGUUAAGGACUAGCUAGACAUCCCAGCCAAUUGUUAAUAGAUUUGCACGUUCCUGUUCUGGAUGUAAGCUGCACUCUGCCUCUCCUCCAAGACUGCUUUUAGAUGUAUUUUCCUCCCCAUUCCCAAGUCAUCCUUUGGACUUACUUCAGACACCUUUCCUCACUCAGUAUUUUUUGUUUCCCCUGCAGGCAUCCGUUGCUUCAAGCUUCACGUUUAUGGCUUAGAAAUCUUAUGCUUUUUAAAAAAUUAAUCAGGUCUUGUUAGAGUUUAUUUUUAUUAUAUUCAGAAUCUUUUGCCUAUGAUAAGCCAUUUAGAAGCCACAUUUAACUUUGUUUCAUUAUCUAUAGCCUGGUGUAAGAAAUGUCAAAACCAGGAGUGCAGCCUUAUCGGGCACAUUAGGAACAAGUGUGGGAAAGGGUUAAUCCUCAGACCUGGCCAGUCUCCUCCUGACUGUGUUGCUGAGCCUACACUUCAAGGUGAUGAUUUGCUACAGUGAUUCCAGAACUUCCACUUGUCCCGGAAGUCCCUGGGGAAGUGUGCUGAACUGCAGGUUCCCAGGCCCCUCCUCCAGCGGUUCUGAUUCAUGAAAUUUCACUUGGGACCCGGGGAUCUGCAUUUUAAUCAAGUUCCCCAGGAGAUUCAGUUGUGCUGUUCCACAGACCACAUCUUGAGAAACACUGAGUUCAGGGAGGUGUUCUUGCCACUGCAUCUCCUUCCUUUAAGAAGCUUUUGCAGCCUUUGGGCCCACUGAUCACAGUUGAUCACUCAGGACACAAUGUAAAUUCCUUUUCAGAGAGAAGCUGACUUAAGCUAUCCCUACAUGAUUGAGGUGCUUUUACCAUGAAGGGGAUUCCGUGGUUUCAAUCAUAUGUGGAUAAAAAAGGUGCUGUAUUGUUUUUAUAUAGAUUGCUUUGUGUAUUUUACAUUAUGGGGUGCAUGCUAUGGACAACUCAAGGUUAUUCUAAGUUGCACAUCUUUUUGGCUUCAUUUCAACCAUUUACAAGGAACUGUUAAUUUAGUAUAUGUUUUCCUGCUUUUGCAAACAGAAUCUACUGAAGAUAAUGAAAUCUUUUCAGGGUCAUCAUUUAUGUUUUUGAUUCUUUCGGGUCCUGUAUAGGUUGUGAAAGCCCCUGCACACAAUGUGAAUAGCUCUGCUCUUUGAGUGGUUUUUAUAGUUUUUCUUUUCCCUCACUGUUAUUUCUCAUUUCUGCCGUUACUCUGUCCACCUCUAGGACUUCCCUCUUGUUUGCUGUCUGGGGUUGGGAAAUCAUGUAAUUGCAUACUGUAUGUCAAGUAACAGCAAACAGGACCCGAGUGAGGCUUUGAGAGGCUUUUCUGGUAGUAAAAUGAAUGAAUGUUGGUGCAUUGACUUGGUGACGUUAUCUUAGUGGCUCUGCUCCUUCCUCCAGCUUCCUUCCUGAUCCUCAACUGCAGUUGUCAGAUCUGUGACCUCAAGAUAAGAGAGAUGUUGCUAGAAAUGAUUUCUUUUGAUCUGUAAGCUGUUGUCUCCCCCAGUUGUGUUAGUGUUUUUUAUAUAUACAGUUCUAUAAUGUGAAAUCUUAAGUAGAUUAAAAUUCAAAUGAACAUUUUUCUCAGGCCAAGUUUUUGUGCAGGAUAAAAUGUUUCUGAUUCUGUGCUAUUGUGAUUUAGAACUAUUAAUUAGUUGUAUACCUAUGAAAUUCAAUCCUGCAGUCAUUCUGAAAUAAAAGUGUUACAACUAAUAUUUACACGUGAGUUUGAAUUUCUCGGGGGCAUCACAUCACUCAGCAGAGCUUGUGUUUAUCAUUUGUAGUAAUGAUCCUAGUCCUUUUCAGCAGUACCAGAUGAGGGUGUUAUGCCAGCCAUGUGAUGGUAGCUCCCCACUUCCCCCAAGGUGAGCCGUUGAAGUUUCUCACAGAAAUAAGCAGAGGCCACUCAUAUUGGGUGAUCCUACUGGGCCAUGUGCUAAUGGAGCACAGGACCAGGGUCUGCAGAGGGAGAAGAAAUGAAGCACAGCACAAAGAGCAGUAUGAAGUCAGGUGGUCCCAAGGAGGGAGGGAGAGAGUGAGCUGCUGCUUGUUGACCUGUGAGACUCAGCUAUGUUUUCUGUACUUUGUUUCCAUGAGAUUUGCCAUUGUCCUUUCAUUUGUCCUCUUUUUACUUGAAUGUAUUUAAGUGGGCUUUUGCGCCUUGUUUUCAAAAUCCCUUGUCCAAGCCAUAUUGAUUCCUUUCUUUUGUUAGAGCUUGAGUGCCUUUAGGGAUAGAGUCCUUAGUUCAGCCAGC